rnacentral:rRNA from 1 species
AUUGAACGCUGGCGGCAUGCUUUACACAUGCAAGUCGAACGGUAACAGGCCUUCGGGUGCUGACGAGUGGCGAACGGGUGCGUAAUGCAUCGGAACGUGCCCAGAGGUGGGGGAUAACGCAGCGAAAGCUGUGCUAAUACCGCAUGUGAUCUGAGGAUGAAAGCGGGGGACCAGGCAGCAAUGUUUGGCCUCGCGCCUUUGGAGCGGCCGAUGUCAGAUUAGGUAGUUGGUGGGGUAAAGGCCUACCAAGCCGACGAUCUGUAGCUGGUCUGAGAGGACGACCAGCCACACUGGGACUGAGACACGGCCCAGACUCCUACGGGAGGCAGCAGUGGGGAAUUUUGGACAAUGGGCGCAAGCCUGAUCCAGCAAUGCCGAGUGCGGGAAGAAGGCCUUCGGGUUGUAAACCGCUUUUGUACGGAACGAAAAGGCUCUGGCUAAUACCUGGGGCUGAUGACGGUACCGUAAGAAUAAGCACCGGCUAACUACGUG